rnacentral:lncRNA from 1 species
UCCGAGGCUGCAGACUGCAGGGACUUCUUGGGCAAAUCUCUUCACCGGUAGGUUCGUAUCGGAAGUGAGUAUUCCCGUACCAUGUCACCCAAGUCGUCGCGAACGGCAUGGACGUGAUCGAAACCAUGUCGGUGAUAGGGUUUGGUGCAAUCCGGAGAUUGAUAGGCCACGGCGUGGCUUCCCGCCUUACCUGACGCUCUAUAAGACCUGCAAUCCGGAGGACCACGGCUCCAGAACCGGGUACAUGAUGAGGUUCAACGCCUUGUCCUGAUACCACAAUACUCUGCUCCGGCGGAAGCAUCAUCAAUCCUUUCAAAUGCGGUGAGUCUUCUCCUCCUCCUCUGUUCUACAUAGAAGCGAUCAUAUGAUCACUAUGGUUAAUACAACAAACCGCAUUUAAGGUGUUCGAUCAUAUGUCUAGUCGAAAAGGAAAACAUGACGGCUGUGUUUCAUGGAGGCUAGGAAUAGUUUGUUCUCGGUAGUACUCAUGACUUUGCAGUGUCACAUGUGCACUUGGUCCAAGGAUCUACGGAUCCAUUCACAUGUCAAUGAACGGCUCUGAUAUAGGGAAUCGGAAGGACCUGCUCACUUCACACCGGUAGGAGCUCGAAGUACAAGCUUACCUCCUGGAAGUAUGUGUACACCACCACAGUUGUGUAUUCGGUCUCACUCUCCUCUCGAUUUUGACUCUAUUUCCACAGCUUCCACUUUUAAGAUCACAGACACACUGUGAUCAUGACUCCAAAUCACGAGACCUCGUCAGCUAUACCUCUCUAGGAAUUGGUGGUGCCAACCACUGCAACCUUCUCCAUUAUCAGCUUUUAACGCUUUAUCUGAUGGGUUCUGCAACAG